UGGAAGACUAGUGAUUUUGUUGUUGUGUGUCUUGCAAACAACAGUAAAUCACAGUCUUCCUUA
rnacentral:pre_miRNA from 1 species